rnacentral:tRNA from 8 species
GGCGGACGUGGCCAAG